UCUCAAAUUAACGAGAAAAAAAACCAAGAAAGAGAAAUUUUAAUCUGGAAAGCUAUUAUUGAAAACUAUAGUGAACAAAUACCGUCUCAUAUCUAUAUAAUCAUCUUUGGUGUUGAUUGGAACCAAAUGAACUGAGAACUUAAGAACCCAACUGCUCAGCUCCAAGGUCAUCGAGCAAAAUGAACUGGCCGCAAAGUGGUGAGUUUGCCGUUUCAGGUGGUGGGUUUCGCUCAGUCGGUGGUGGUGAGUCUGGUGUUGGGCGCGCAAUUCAAAUGGAUGGUCUCCGGCUACUCCUUGCGUCGGGCCCGUAGCCUCAAGGCCAGAUAGGCGAAUCCUCGGAAGCCCACAAUCAGUAUGGCCAAGCCGAUAUAGUCCAGCGGCAGAUCGGCGGCCGAAAAG